ACUCAAAGGAAUAGACGGGGGCCCGCACAAGCAGUGGAGUAUGUGGUUUAAUUCGAAGCAACGCGAAGAACCUUACCGGGGCUUGACAUACCGGCGAUCGGUACAGAGAUGUACCCUUCUUCGGACGCCGGAUACAGGUGGUGCAUGGUUGUCGUCAGCUCGUGUCGUGAGAUGUUGGGUUAAGUCCCGCAACGAGCGCAACCCCUAUUGUCAGUUGCUAACAUUUAGUUGAGAACUUUGGCAAGACUGCCGGCGACAAGUCGGAGGAAGGUGGGGACGACGUCAAAUCAUCAUGCCCCUUAUGUCCCGGGCUACACACGUACUACAAUGGCCGUUAACAACAGGAAGCGAAGCAGCGAUGUGGAGCAAAUCCCCAAAAACGGCCUCAGUUCGAAUUGCAGGCUGAAACUCGCCUGUAUGAAGUCGGAAUUGCUAGUAAUCGCGAAUCAGCAUGUCGCGGUGAAUACGUUCCCGGGCCUUGCACACACCGCCCGU
rnacentral:rRNA from 1 species